rnacentral:rRNA from 1 species
GCCAUGCAAGUCUUCUAGUAUAGAGGCAUAAGGCUCAGUAACACGUCGGUAACUUGCCCUAAGGUCAGGGAUAACCUCGCGAAAGUGAGGGUAACACUGAUAGAGAAAUUCGUCUGGAAUGAUUUUUUCUCAGAAAUUCGUGCCUUAGGAUAGGCCGGCGGCAGAUUAGGCUGUGGCGGUGUAAUGGACCACCAAACCGAAGAUCUGUACGGGCCAUGAGAGUGGGAGCCCGGAGAGGGACACUGAGAAACUGGUCCCAGCCCUACGGGGUGCAGCAGGCGCGAAACCUUUUCAAUGCACGCAAGUGUGAGAAGGGAAUUCCAAGUGCUCAAGUUUUACUUGGGCUUUUGCCAAGUGUAAAAAGCUUGGCGAAUAAGGGGUGGGUAAGACUGGUGCCAGCCGCCGCGGUAACACCAGCGCCUCGAGUGGGGAUCGCGAUUAUUGGGUCUAAAGCGUCCGUAGCAGGCUUUGUAAAUGCUUUGUGAAAUCGACAGGCUUAACCUGUCGGCGUGCAGAGUAGACUGCAGAGCUCGAGACCGGGAGAGGUUAGCAGUAUUCCUAGGGUACCGGUAAAAUGGGUUAAUCCUAGGAGGACUACCAAUGGCGAAGGCAGCUAACCAGAACGGUUCUGACUGUGAGGGACGAAAGCUAGGGGAGCAAAACGGAUUAGAUACCCGAGUAGUCCUAGCCGUAAACGCUGUGAGCAAGGUAUUGGGCUUCCUACGAGGACGCCCAGUGUCGAAACGAAGGUGAUAAGCUCGCCACCAGGGAAGUACGGUCGC